GACGAACGCUGGCGGCGUGCUUAACACAUGCAAGUCGAACGGAAAGGCCUUUUCGGAGGUACUCGAGUGGCGAACGGGUGAGUAACACGUGGGUGAUCUGCCCUGCACUCUGGGAUAAGCCUGGGAAACUGGGUCUAAUACCGGAUAGGACCGCACUUUAGUGUGUGUGGUGGAAAGUUUUUUCGGUGUAGGAUGAGCCCGCGGCCUAUCAGCUUGUUGGUGGGGUAAUGGCCUACCAAGGCGGCGACGGGUAGCCGGACUGAGAGGUUGGUCGGCCACAUUGGGACUGAGAGACGGCCCAGACUCCUACGGGAGGCAGCAGGGGGGAAUAUUGCACAAUGGGCGCAAGCCUGAUGCAGCGACGCCGCGUGGGGGAUGACGGCCUUCGGGUUGUAAACUCCUUUCGCCAGGGACGAAGCGUUUUGUGACGGUACCUGGAGAAGAAGCACCGGCUAACUACGUG
rnacentral:rRNA from 1 species